GGACGUGUGGCCUAGCGGACAAGGGCGAGAGGUUCCUAACCUCUAGAGCGCGGGUUCAAAUCCCGCCACGUCCG
rnacentral:tRNA from 1 species